AAAUCUGGAUCUGAAGCAAAUAUAGUAAGUAAAUCUUAUAAGAAAUGUUUAUAGAUUUUAGAGCGCUGUUUUUAUAGAAGUGAGGUAAUUAAUACUGAGCUUGGGAUCCGAUCAGGGCAUUCUUUUUGUCCCUGCAACCCCCUAGUGUUUUAACAGAUUCCUGGCAUUGCUCUCUAGAACGGGUAUGAAAUAAUUAAAUUUGUCUUAGUUUCAAUUUGCAUAGUAAUGUCACUGUGGAUUAAAUUGAGGUGGAAAUCCUUUAUAGGAAAGUGUUUACUUUCCCAAUGCAUGUCUGUUUCAUAUUUUGUAUUCCUGUUGGAAUGUUUAUGCUAUGUUUGGCUAUUCAUAAUGAAAGAGGAGAAGCAUUAUAUUUUAUAAGAGAUGCAGUCAGAACCAGUUUGAAGUGGUUUUGCACGGAAGUAGACAAGCACCUUACUCCUCCUUUUUAGCUAACAAUAUAAGAAGGAUUGAUCUUUUGUGCCAUGCAUCCCAGCUGCCCAAUUCAUUUUAGAUCUGUUGCUGAUGUUUAAAUUGAUUGUUUUUCAUUUCUUCAGCAUGCAGCUACUAUGGCUCUUGGU
rnacentral:misc_RNA from 1 species